AACCCGUUGCUAACACAUGCACGAUACGGUGCUCUCUGAGACAGAGAGUGGUUUGUCCAACUCGCAACUCCAAAUGAAUUGAAAAUUUUAGGUUAGUGAUUGUUUUUCCAAAAGGAGCAGAAAUAAAAAAUAAAUACUUAGGCAUAAAAGAAGAAUUUGGCAAUGUCAAAGAGAGAAGACAAGAGUAUAACUAUAGUCAGAUCCACGUUAUAAUGGCAGGGGAUAAAGAUAGAAGAAUAGCGAUACCGAUUCUCUGCAUUAAUUAUAUUUCUACACCGUCAAAAACAUAAUUGGCAUCGUUGUGGACCUGGAAAAGUAUAGUACCACCGGCUUUGUCGAAUGAUAGAUAAGGAUAGCAAAACCAAAGUUGAUCAAAUACUGUCAUUAUAACGUAGACCUCACUAUACAUCAAAGUCAACAAAAACAGUGGUUCUUGAAAACUUUUAACUUGGAUAAAGAAGUGUUUCAGUGCUUUGAAAAGACUGACUUAAAUGAAUAAAAAAAUUUAUUUUAAUGAUACAAAGAAAGUACAAUAUUUUAAUUUAGCAAGCUGUGUGAAAUUGUUCCUCCCUCCAAGUGACAGAAAAAGGUUGUCAAUUUUAAGACUGAAAAACAUUUUGUUUGGAAAUAUUCUAUCCAAAGUGUUGGUCAUUAAGUAGACAUUUGCCUAUAAUUUCUUAUAAAGUUAUUAGUUUUUACCAAGUAAGAGUGAAAUGCAUUGGAAAAAAAAGUUGAAGAGAAACCUCUAGAUAAACUGUGACUAUUUACAGAUGGCAAGCACUUCCAAUGCACGCCCUAAUCCCCCAAAGAGGAGGCGUGAGGAGGAUGGGAACGUUGCCCCUCCUAAGAGAAGGUGCAUUGCACCUCAA